AGAGGAAUAGCUGGGUCAAAUGGUGAUUCCAUUCCCAGCUUUCCAAGGAAUCUCCAUAUUGCUUUCCAAAUUGGCUGCACCAAUUUGAAGUCCCACCUGCAGU
rnacentral:pre_miRNA from 1 species